CAGCCGGCUUCGGCCUUCGGCCCCCAGCUCCCUCCUCGACCGUCACCCCCAAACCUAAGGAAAAGCGCAGCCCCCCGCCCCGCGCGCCCCGCGAGGACCUACCGUGGAGCCUCCGGCGUUGUGGCCUGGUCCUUGCCCGCGCGGCCCCCACUCGAAGCGUGCGGAGCGCAUCCGACCCUCUGGCACAUCCAGCUGCUCCGCGAGCGCUCGCUUUCCGCGCAGCGCCCAGACGCGAUGCGGAAACGAAAGAAGAGGAGAAACGCGAGGGAAAACACCCAGAGCCAGUCCCUUCCCUGCAGAGCCUUCGGAAUGGGCUCCCUAAGUCAAGUGACUGGAGAACAAAAAUGUGGGGAGAUCACCUUUGUCCAAGGACGGUCGGACAGGCGCGGUGCCCCCCCCUCCUCCCGAGGGGGGGGUGAUUGCAGCUGGGAGAGGCGGGGUGAAGAGGCACCCCCCCCUCCCGCAGACAUGAAUAUUUACAACGGUUCCGGAUUUCUCCUCCACCCGCCGGCCUCCCGGAAGCCUCCCCAGCCCGCCUCCCUCGGGGAGAGCCCCCAGGCCUUAAGAGUCCCCCGGUCGGCCCUCUGAGCUUGCAGCUGGUUGAAUGCCAGCCGAAGCCAUUUUUUCUCGUUUAAAACCCUUCUUCUUGGUCAAGAGGCCUGCCUGGACUGCAGCAUUUCGGAGGACGCAUUUGUCUUUGUGCGAGGGAAUGUUGAGCACUCAGAUUUCAGCAUCAUUUCUCUCCGCGUUUGUUUCUUAGGAAUUUCGCCGUGGUUCCAAAUCCCUGCCAGGACCUUGGCUAGGAAAGGAGAGAGGACACCACCGCCUUUGUAUUUGUGCAGAUCAGUAAAGGGGACAAAUUUGAAAAAAAACACUGCUGAAGCCCCAACGGACAACCGAGAUUUUGCACUUAGAAUAAUUUCAAUCUCUUUGGGGAGUGGUCUCCAUGAAUUUCUCCUCCCACCCCACAUCCCAGGCUAAAGAGAAAAAAUGUGAUGAUUUAAUGGCAUACAUUGGAAAGAAUCGGUCUCUCUCUGUUAUCCCAGGGCCUGCGUCUAAGUCCGGUUUCCUAGUCCUUUACCCAGCCCUCUGGACCUAUAGUCUGCGUGUGGCCUCCGCCUUUGUUCUGCUGUUUUGGGGAAGAGACCCAGCUCCAGGUACCAAUACCUCUCUGAGCCCCAUCAGGUGAGAAAACAUUUCUGAAGAUAGGGCCUCUGCAGCCUCUUGCUUCUUCCCCCACCCCACCCCACCCCACCCCACCCUGCCCCCCACCGUUAUAUUUUUCUUAAAAGAACUGUUUAAAAAACAUUUUAAAAAAUACACAUCAAAAAAAAAAAAAAAAAAAAAAAUAAAUAAAUAAAAAUACACA
rnacentral:lncRNA from 1 species